GAUGAACGCUGGCGGCGUGCCUAAUACAUGCAAGUCGAGCGAACGGACGAGAAGCUUGCUUCUCUGAUGUUAGCGGCGGACGGGUGAGUAACACGUGGAUAACCUACCUAUAAGACUGGUAUAACUUCGGGAAACCGGAGCUAAUACCGGAUAAUAUUUUGAACCGCAUGGUUCAAAAGUGACAGACGGUCUUGCUGUCACUUAUAGAUGGAUCCGCGCUGCAUUAGCUAGUUGGUAAGGUAACGGCUUACCAAGGCAACGAUGCAUAGCCGACCUGAGAGGCUGAUCCGAUACACUGGAACAGAGAGACGGACCAGACUCCUAAGGGAGGCAGCAGUAGGGACUCAGCAGCCAUGGGAGAAAGCCUGAGGGAGCAACGCCGCGUGAGUGAUGAAGGUCUUCCGAUCGUAAAACUCUGUUAUUAGGGAAGAACAGAUGUGUCAGUAACCGUGCCCAACUUGACGGCCCCUAAUCAGAAAGCAACGGCUAAGUACGCG
rnacentral:rRNA from 1 species